GUGAAAUUGUUGAAAGGGAAACGAUUGAAGUCAGUCGUACCGACGAGAAAUCAGCUCUUCGAGUGCGAAGUUGUGGGCGUGUGAGAGUCUUUAACCGGGCCUCGCUGUUUGCAAUUUUGUGCUUUUUGGGUGUACUUUUUCGUAUGGUAGGCCAACGUCAGUUUUGAUUACCGUAAAAUGACUGGAGGAAUGUAGCUUCGAUCUCGUAUUGAAGUGUUAUAGCCUUUGGUAGAUGUGAUGUUUGAGACCGAGGAUUGCAACGGAUACCCUUCAGGGCUAUUCGUCUGAUCUCUGAUACGUUGCCUUGAUGUUGAAAGCUUGCUUAUGAUGUUAGGGUAUUACGGUCAAAAAGGUUAGAACGAAUUACAUUCGUUAAGGAUGUUGACGUAAUGGCUUUAAACGAC
rnacentral:rRNA from 1 species